rnacentral:pre_miRNA from 1 species
CAUCGCUAUCGUGUGUUCUUGUGUGUCUGUACAACAAGCACACUACAUAGCGGUGCU